ensembl:lncRNA
GAAUCAUUUAUCUAAGCCACAAUGAUUCUGUACAUUAUAUGAACAUUACAGAGGCAAGCUUUCUUGAAGACUAAAAAGGAUUGCAAAAUGCAUAUGUGGUGUUCACCAGCGAUCUAAAGCUCAUUAUAAUAUUUCAUGGGGUGAUAGAUGCAUUUCUCUAUCCAUAACAGCAUAUAGUGCAGCAGCAGCAGCAGUGACGUGCCUCACUCUCCUGUCCGUUACCUUGGAGCUUUCCCCCGCGCGCGCGCUAACACACAUAAUUUUCACGGGCUAUAGCGCCGCUCAGUGGAUUUAUCUUAUUCCUCUCUGUUCAGUUAUAUAGUUUAUUGGGACCUUGGAGAACAAACAGAAUCGUCCUGUCCUUUGCCCGGUUCUUUUCUUGGUUGAAUGUCCGCAUUUGUAAUUGUCAUUAUGUCUAGUAACUAUAAUGACCCGCACAACUGUCAUUACGCGUGAUGUUUACGCCAAACGCGGGCCACGCGGUGUUUCCUGACGUGUACUCACCAACACUGCUGGAUGCAAGAAUUAUUGUUGAAAAAUGAGUGUGUAACGCGUGACCCCUCAUUUCCCACCUCGCUGACACCCUCUUUUCUGCAUCUGAGCCUCAUCUUGCAGGAGAGGCAAUCCAAGCUUUUGCUAACUGCAGAUAUCGAAGAGGAAUCUUAAACGGGAGAAAUUCUAGUUAAAAAGAGCAAGAUGGAGAACUAUUGAUCCCUUAUCCCAAAGGUGUCCACCGUAUGCAGAUGUCCCAAAGGUGCACCAGAGAAGGCUCCAGCAUUUUGAAUGCAUCGCAACCUUUCAUACCUUUUCAACUGCAGGCGCAACACUUCAGCUAUUGAAGGUAAGUUUCCACACAAAUGGGGUCCUUCAGUUGGCCCUGACUGAACCUGGCAAUGGAGGGGCACCUUUAGAAUCUGCCGGCCCGGGCAUUGAAAGGAGAGAUGCGGUGCUCAAGUCAUGCAUCUUACACAGUAACUACAGUCACAGAGCCUUCAACCCUGCUGCAUUCAGCUAUAAUUGCCCCUGACAGCAGGGCAAAUCAUCAGCACAGGGAUGUGAUAAGCAUUACAGCCAGAUGACAGCUCACAGAAGUGUAUUAGCAACACUGUGACAUAUCGUAUUACCACUGUGAAUAAAAUAAAGCCAACUUGGAACA